UACGUAGGGGGCUAGCGUUGUCCGGAAUCAUUGGGCGUAAAGCGCGUGUAGGCGGCCCGGUAAGUCCGCUGUGAAAGUCGGGGGCUCAACCCUCGGAUGCCGGUGGAUACUGUCGGGCUAGAGUACGGAAGAGGCGAGUGGAAUUCCUGGUGUAGCGGUGAAAUGCGCAGAUAUCGGGAGGAACACCAAUGGCGAAGGCAGCUCGCUGGGACGGUACUGACGCUGAGGCGCGAAAGCGUGGGGAGCAAACAGG
rnacentral:rRNA from 1 species